CUCAUGCUUGGGGGAAGGGAUACCUACACUCUGGGAAUUGCUAUAAUCACUUACUCCCCAGAGUAAGCUCUUGUAAGAGCUUGAUUUGUUUCUGCUACGCUCUCUGGAUUAAGGAGGGGUUACUGCUGGAGAGGGUAGGGGUUACUGCUACUUAAGGAGAGGUUCACCCACUGGGAGCUGGAUACUGGUCGUGGAUCCAGGGUGGGUGAGAGACGUUGAGAGACGGCGAGACCCCGGCGCAGCUGCAUCGCUGGAAGUGGGGUCCGCAGUGCUGAU